AAUAGUAGGAAUCUAAGAAACGGGAACUGUGUUUGAAACACAGACCUGACGGACACAUUUCGGGGAUGGCUGUAUUAUGUCCCAAAACAAGUGUGACAUUCAACAGACGACUGUUUUAAUCAUUUCUGUACAUCGGACGGGAGAUAAUAUAACGUUGCACUCCUGCUGCAUCUCUCCUGGGCAUUUCUGUUCCCCUCACAACCUAACGGCAUUUUGCUGUGGUACGGGAACUGUCUCCAGGCUGCACCGCUUCAGAGCUCCCAGAAUUCUCCCCAUCAAAUGUGGUCACUUUUGAUAUCAAGGGCCCAUGGUGAUCUGCAUGCCACUAUAUGGACACUGUCCAUGCUGACCACAGGACCAGAAACCCAGAGCAC